rnacentral:rRNA from 1 species
AGAGUUUGAUCAUGGCUCAGGACGAACGCUGGCGGCGCGCUUAACACAUGCAAGUCGAGCGAUAACCAUGGCUUCGGCCAUGGGGAGAGCGGCGAACGGGUGAGUAACACGUGAGCGGUCUGCCCUCGACACUGGGAUAGCCCGGGGAAACCCGGAUUAAUACCGGAUAGCCUCUUGGGUCUACGGGCCUGUGAGAAAAGAUGGCCUCGGCAUUCGGUCGAGGAGGAGCUUGCGGCGGAUUAGCUUGUUGGUGAGGUAACGGCUCACCAAGGCGACGAUCCGUAGCUGGUCUGAGAGGACGAUCAGCCACACUGGGACUGAGACACGGCCCAGACUCCUACGGGAGGCAGCAGUGGGGAAUCUUGCGCAAUGGGCGAAAGCCUGACGCAGCGACGCCGCGUGAGGGAAGAAGGCCUUCGGGUUGUAAACCUCUUUCAGGAGGGACGAAGCUACUCGGGUUAAUAGCCCAGAGGGUGACGGUACCUCCAGAAGAAGCCCCGGCUAACUACGUGCCAGCAGCCGCGGUAAUACGUAGGGGGCAAGCGUUGUCCGGAAUCAUUGGGCGUAAAGAGCGUGUAGGCGGCCAGAUAAGUCCGCUGUGAAAUCUCGAGGCUCAACUUCGAGCUGUCGGUGGAAACUGUCUGGCUAGAGUCCGGAAGAGGAGAAUGGAAUUCCUGGUGUAGCGGUGAAAUGCGCAGAUAUCAGGAAGAACACCCGUGGCGAAGGCGGUUCUCUGGGACGGUGCUGACGCUGAGACGCGAAAGCGUGGGGAGCGAACAGGAUUAGAUACCCUGGUAGUCCACACCGUAAACGUUGGGCGCUAGGUGUGGGGUCCAUUCCACGGAUUCCGUGCCGCAGCUAACGCAUUAAGCGCCCCGCCUGGGGAGUA